UACGUAGGGUGCAAGCGUUAAUCGGAAUUACUGGGCGUAAAGCGUGCGCAGGCGGUUAUGCAAGGCAGGGGUGAAAUCCCCGGGCUUAACCUGGGAACUGCAUUUGUGACUGCAUAGCUAGAGUACGGUAGAGGGGGAUGGAAUUCCGCGUGUAGCAGUGAAAUGCGUAGAUAUGCGGAGGAACACCGAUGGCGAAGGCAAUCCCCUGGACCUGUACUGACGCUCAUGCACGAAAGCGUGGGGAGCAAACAGG
rnacentral:rRNA from 1 species